UAAGGCUCAAAUUAAGCAGUCUUGCCUUAUGUUUGUGAAAUAAUGCAAGCUGUUCUCCUUUGUGCAGGGCCAGCUUUGGCCCUGGAUGUUUAGUGACUAAAAUGAAGCACUGGUAUGUAUUCGGAGGAGCACGGAUACGAAUUCAAAGGUACCUGGGAAAGCACAGAAGAGAAGAUGGAUGAGAGAUUUCCCUGUGGAGCCUUGCUGGACAGUCCACCUAGGCACAGGAAGCAAAGACCAUACCAGUCGCUGAUGUCUUCUGCAGAGCAGUCACUCAUGGAACCAGUGUGUAGGUUGCUGACCCAGAUGUAGCCAAGCUUCGUCUUCUGUCUGGUUUUCUUCCAUUCUUCCGUCCCUUCCUCCCGCCCUCUCAGAAGCAUCCUGAAGCAAGGUCCAGUGGACACAGAUGUAGAGCAGGGGAAGAAACCUCUCAACAGCAAGGUGUUGAAGCAAGUGCUGUGUAGGCAGCAGAAGUCCUGAAACGAGCAAAUAACUCCAGCUGUGUGAGACAGUUGGUCUUAGAGAAU